rnacentral:rRNA from 1 species
CUGAAUAACUACGCAGAUGGCAUGGUCUCGCACCGGCCACAUAUCCUUCAAGUGUCUGCCUUAUCAACUGUCGAAGGUAGUUUAUACGACUACCUUGGUGGUAACGGGUAACGGAGAAUUUGGGUUCGAUUCCGGAGAGGGAGCCUGAGAAACGGCUACCACAUCCAAGGAAGGCAGCAGGCGCGCAAAUUACCCACUCUCAGCUCGAGGAGGUAGUGACAAAAAAUAACGAGACAGUUCUCUAUGAGGUCUGUCAUCGGAAUGGGUACAAUCUAAACCCUUUAACGAGGAUCAAUUGGAGGGCAAGUCUGGUGCCAGCAGCCGCGGUAAUUCCAGCUCCAAUAGCGUAUAUUAAAGUUGUUGCGGUUAAAAAG